GAAAUGCGAUAAGUAAUGUGAAUUGCAGAAUUCCGUGAAUCAUCGAAUCUUUGAACGCACAUUGCGCCCGCCAGUAUUCUGGCGGGCAUGCCUGUUCGAGCGUCAUUUCAACCAUCAAGCCCCCGGCUUGUGUUGGGGACCUGCGGCUGCCCGCAGGCCCUGAAAAACAGUGGCGGGCUCGCUGUCACACCGAGCGUAGUAGCAUACAUUCUCGCUCAGGGCGUGCUGCGGGUUCCGGCCGUUAAACGACCUUCAUAACCCAAGGUUGACCUCGGAUCAGGUAGGAAGACCCGCUGAACUUAAGC
rnacentral:misc_RNA from 1 species